AUGGAUGGAUGAUGGCCUAGUAAAUGAUAUUACACCAAAAUUGAUAGGCGACAGACCUAAUACAUACAUAUACACCAAGGCGUUGGCAGAAUAUGUUGUGCAGCAAGAAGGAGCAAAGCUAAAUGUUGCAAUUGUAAGGCCGUCGAUUGUUGGUGCCAGUUGGAAAGAACCUUUUCCAGGAUGGAUUGAUAACUUUAAUGGACCAAGUGGUCUCUUCAUUGCGGCAGGGAAAGGAAUUCUUCGAACAAUGCGUGCCUCCAACAAUGCCCUUGCAGAUCUCGUUCCUGUAGAUGUAGUUGUCAACACGAGCCUUGCUGCAGCCUGGUAUUCCGGAGUUAAUAGACCAAGAAACAUCAUGGUGUAUAAUUGCACAACAGGCAGCACUAAUCCUUUCCACUGGGGGGAAGUUGAAUACCAUGUAAUUUCCACUUUCAAGAGGAAUCCUCUCGAACAGGCCUUCAGACGGCCCAAUGUAAAUCUAACCUCCAAUCACCUUUUAUAUCAUUACUGGAUUGCUGUUAGCCAUAAGGCCCCAGCAUUCCUGUAUGAUAUCUACCUCAGGAUGACUGGAAGAAGCCCAAGGAUGAUGAAAACAAUCACUCGUCUUCACAAAGCCAUGGUAUUCCUUGAAUAUUUUACAAGUAACUCUUGGGUUUGGAAUACUGAUAAUGUCAAUAUGUUAAUGAACCAGCUAAACCCUGAAGAUAAAAAGACCUUUAAUAUUGAUGUACGACAGUUACAUUGGGCAGAAUAUAUAGAGAACUACUGCAUGGGGACUAAAAAAUAUGUAUUGAAUGAAGAGAUGUCGGGCCUCCCUGCAGCUAGAAAGCAUCUGAACAAGUUGCGGAAUAUCCGUUAUGGUUUCAAUACAAUCCUUGUGAUACUUAUCUGGCGCAUUUUUAUUGCAAGAUCACAAAUGGCAAGAAACAUCUGGUACUUUGUGGUUAGUCUGUGUUACAAAUUUCUGUCAUACUUCCGAGCAUCCAGCACUAUGAGAUACUGAAGACCAAGAAUUUAGCAUUAGAACAUCUAUGCAUAUGAUGAUCUAAAUGCAUAAAAUGUAAAAUGUACUUAAGUCAUCUCACCUUUCGUUAAGACAUUAAACCAUCUUAAAUUGGAGCGUGGAGUAAAUUAUGGUCCAUUUUAUGUAACAUUUUAAUGUUUAUGCUCAAAACCUAGUGAACACACUGUGGUAUGCCAGCUCAGAUCUGCAAUAGUCACUUAAACUAUGAUUCAACAUUUUAAUCCUUGGAAUGCAAAGGAUAGGAAGAGGGAAGAAGUGGGGCUAUGGGAAUAUUGACCAGUAUAACUGUGCAGUUCUGGAACAUACUAAUUAAAAUAUGCCUUAACAUGCAGUCCUAAUAUUCAGUGCAAUGGAAAAUUGCAGACAGAAGGCCUAGAUAAAUUAGUUAAGUAUUUGAUUUGAUUCUUCAAUGUUGAUUUCUUUUUUUUUUUUUUUUGAAAUCCUUUAAGAGGUGGGGUUUAGUUUUGCUAAAGACCACAGCCAUGUAUUUUUUUUUUCUUAUAAGUUACAGGUGUUAUCCUAUUCAAAGACUUGUUCUAAUUUUCUUUCUGAAUAAAUGUGUGUUGUAUAUCAUUUUCCUAUAAGUAAUUAGUCGCUCUUAUUAUCAGAAGGCCAAAUAUUAUUCUAAAGACACUAAUAGAUCUGAAUGGAUUUAAGAUUCUGUAUCAAUGUAUAUACUCUGUGCAUUUGAAGCAAAGUGAAAACAUGCACAGUAAAACUGUGUUCAUAUCAAACGAAUUGGAAACCAUUUUUUCUAGUCCACAUUUCGAUCAAAUGGAACUCUGGUGAGAUGUGUUUUCAUUUUGAAGAGGAUUUCUUGAGACUUGAUUAAAGGUGGGAUUGGGGAAGGAUUCAUUAUACUUACUCUCCCUUAAAAAUUUUCUCAUAGGACUUGCCCCAUAUGAACAUGCAUUAUUAUGAAGGAACGUAGUUGCAGCUUUUAACAUUAAGAAAAUGCCCUCACGUGUUUACCAACACGUACUAAUUUUGACCUUGAAAGCUGAAUUCCUUUAAAAAUGAAUAAUGCAUAAGUAUGUGUGUAAAAUUAAAUAAAAAGUUUUUACCAUGUAAAGUAGCAAACUGUUCAAUGAGUUUCAAGUCAUCAUUUCUUUGCAUGUUGUUUUAGCUUUAGAAAGACAUGCGUUAUAGAAACAAGUAAUAGCAAGAAACUGAUGUAUAUUUAUUAAUACAUUAUAAUUCCCUUUAAAUCUUACUAGUUUGUUACUAUUUUAUCAUAUUUUAAUGGCUUGUUCAGCAUAACACAGUUAUAAUUAAGCUGAUCAAGUUGUACUACAUUUUAAAUCAUCAGCAGUGUAUCUUGAAAGUGCUUAAAAGGUUAGUAAAUAGUACAAGAAAUAAAAUGUAACUUUACAUUUUAAUUUUUUGUCAAUUAAAAUAUAAUGUAGAAGAAGUUUAUUUUACUAUUGUGGAAAACAAAAUGUAAAGGAAACCACCUUUUUCCAUACUGGUGUAUAAUCUUGAAAAGAAAAAAAAAAAUGCUUCUGUGUUGAAGCCAAACUUUGUGUAGUAAAACUUUUAAACAUUAUUUUAAAAGAAAUAUGUAUGUAAAUAUCUGUGUAUUCUUUGGAAUGACCCUGAAGUCUCUGGUCUAGGACCAUGCCUGUGUAAGGUGUGAGAGACCAUGAUGGUGUGUGAAAAUGGAAUAAAUGAUGCCUUUGAUUUAAGGUGGCCCAUAUAAUAUACAUUGAGUACUCCAUGUCUCCAAAUGUAUUUCCAUGAUGUAAUGAAGACACACUAACCUUUUUAUGCUUUUUAUACAUCUGCCAAAAUAUACUGCGAAUCUGAUAAAUUGUCUUUGGGUCUCUGAAAAGAAUCAAGUGCAAUGUGGGCAGGCCUGUAAAGUGAACUGGAUGUGUGUCUUCUGUGUUACUGAUCUGUGAUCUAGUUUAAUGAACUGCUAACUCAGGCUGUGCUGAGGUCAAAUUAAUUGUAUGUGUUUAGAAUUCUGUUGUCAAAGGGAAGGUAAUGAAUAAAUGAUGCUCAUCCUGGAAUUUGUAUUUGAAAUUAGUAUGGGGUCAAAUGUGAGAUUGUUGAUCUUUAUCAGCUAGACUUCGGAUUCAUAUUUAAAGAGUCAUGUUUAAAGAGUCUGGAGAUGUAUUCUGUUUAUAAUUUGCUAGACAAUGUUUUUAGUUCUCAUUAUAUUUUCCAUAUAGAGUAUUCAAUAGGACAAGUCUAUAAAAUUAUUUCAUUCACCUCAUUUAUCAAAACUGUAUUCUGAACCAUUUAGGGUUUUCCCCUUAUCUUUCCUUCUCUGAACUCUGGCAUACAUAUUUGUACACUGUUAUGUCAUUGUAACUAUUUAAUUGCCUUGGCAAUGCUUAAUGUAUCUUAACACUUAGUUCAGAAAAGCAUGACCAGGUCAUAUGUUGUUUGACUUAAGGAUGACAUAGAAUAAGUUUCUCCAGUCUGCCAGAUAAAGCUCAGUAGUGGGAGGGGACUCAGACCUCUCCCCUUUGUGUUUGUCUGUAGAAACUGAUAAGAAAACUUUUGUGGGGUUUUUGUUUGUUUGUUUGUUUAAGUGUAAACUGAUAAUCUUUUAUAAGAAGUAAAUAGAAACAUUAUUGGGUGCCUUUGUUUGUAAACCAAAAAGUAAUAAAUGAAUCCCUAUAUUUCUAUUAUAGCAUCUAUUGUAUUUUUACAUUGUAGAAACCGUCCGUGAGUUAAAAUGGCUACAAUGACAGGAAGUAGUCCUUGAAUCUUUUUUUUCUUAGGUGUCCUCAUCUAUUCUCACCAUCUUUUUAUUUAUGUCUUGAGUUGUUCACACAGCACUUUAGGGGGAAGCAUAUAGGCAGAAUGAACAUUUAUUUUAAAGUAUUUUUAUAUAGUAAUUAAUAAUGAGGCAGAUUUCUGUUUUGUUUUUUAAUGUAAAUAGAGCCCGGAGACCACCAGUGUGUUCCUAAGAUGAAUGGCAUUGUGUUAGUUUAUAGGUUCUUCGCCAGUAAUUGAUCUGACUUCAUUUAAAGGGUUAUUCAUUCUCAUAGAGAUUCAGUGAAGCACUUGGGGGAGUGUGGCAGGAUGGGGUUGGAGUGUAAUUGGCUUUGUAAGCAUUCCUUUCUAGGCUGACUUCCAGCUCUGCCUUGAAACCGUUUGCACUGACUUGCUCUGCUUUAAGAAAAACAUUCUAACUUUGCAUGAGAAGCUUAGAGAAAAGGAUAUGUGCUGCGUAACUUAUUACAAAAAUGAGUUCAUCAGUCUGUUUAUAUAUGAAAUAUUUUCUUAAUAAAGAAAAUUUGAGCAACAUU
rnacentral:lncRNA from 1 species